UACGUAGGGGGCAAGCGUUGUCCGGAUUUAUUGGGCGUAAAGAGCGUGUAGGCGGCUUUGCAGGUCCGCUGUGAAAACUCGAGGCUCAACCUCGAGCUGUCGGUGGAAACCGUAAAGCUAGAGUCCGGAAGAGGAGAGUGGAAUUCCAGGUGUAGCGGUGAAAUGCGCAGAUAUCGGGAAGAACACCCGUGGCGAAGGCGGCUCACUGGACCGCAACUGACGCUGAGGCGCGAAAGCUAGGGGAGCAAACAGG
rnacentral:rRNA from 1 species